rfam:Asian citrus Psyllid, Diaphorina citri - Florida Strain, whole genome shotgun sequence.
GCCCAGUUAGCUUAGUUGGUAGUGCGUCUGCCUUGUAAGCGCUAGGCCGCGGGUUCGAUUCCCGCCCGGGGC